UAGCUCAGUCCGUAGAGACUUGGGUUGGGAACCGGAGAGGCGCUGGUUCAAGUCCAGCAAGGACCA
rnacentral:tRNA from 1 species